CCAAAACCCUAACACUAUAUAUAUGCCGGCGUAGGCCUUGACUCGCUGAUUCCGAAAGUACAACCGCUUUUCUGAGCCGCCACUUCUAUCGUCCUAGAUCUAAAGCCGAAGUUUCGAAACCUAGAGCUCCGGCGAACUUCCGACGAAGGUUCGGCGAGCUUUUCCGGCCACGUUCCUCAUCUCUGGCGAGUUCCGCUUCCACCUCGAGCUCCUUCGUUCCGACCGUCCUGGCCCUUGGCUGCGUCACGGCCAAACUGCGCCGCCAAGCCGAGUCCUGUGGUUUGCGUGGCCUCUCUCGAACGCUGCUUGCAGCUGCCAUAGGCGCCACCGUCGAUCGCGUGGCCGGCUCUGUGCAGCCCGUGGAGGUAGGCUGCCGUGAAGACUCCUAGCCUAGCCCGUCGUGGGUGCGUGCCCAGCGCCGUCUACGGCCGGUUGGCAUGCCAGCGCAGAGGCCAUCCUCCUCUCGUGCAAUUGGUGCAGCAGCAUCAGCACUCAACCAUGGCCAGGGCCACAUCCAGAUGGAAACGACGACCAAGACAAGAACUGUUCGUGGACGCGGAAGAUUAGAAGAUGAUGACCAAAAGCUGAUGGUGUGAGAAUUGAGCAAGUGUUUAAG